GGUGAGUAAUGUAUCGGAACGUACCCGGAAAUGGGGGAUAACGUAGCGAAAGUUACGCUAAUACCGCAUAUGCCCUGAGGGGGAAAGUGGGGGAUCCGCAAGGACCUCACGUUUUCGGAGCGGCCGAUAUCAGAUUAGCUAGUAGGUGAGGUAAAGGCUCACCUAGGCGACGAUCUGUAGCGGGUCUGAGAGGACGACCCGCCACACUGGAACUGAGACACGGUCCAGACUCCUACGGGAGGCAGCAGUGGGGAAUUUUGGACAAUGGGGGCAACCCUGAUCCAGCCAUGCCGCGUGAGUGAAGAAGGCCUUCGGGUUGUAAAGCUCUUUCAGCCGGAAAGAAAACGCACGGGUUAAUAACCCGUGUGGAUGACGGUACCGGAAGAAGAAGCACCGGCUAACUACGUGCCAGCAGCCGCGGUAAUACGUAGGGUGCGAGCGUUAAUCGGAAUUACUGGGCGUAAAGCGUGCGCAGGCGGUUUUGUAAGACAGAUGUGAAAUCCCCGGGCUCAACCUGGGAACUGCAUUUGUGACUGCAAGGCUAGAGUACGGCAGAGGGGGGUAGAAUUCCACGUGUAGCAGUGAAAUGCGUAGAUAUGCGGAGGAACACCGAUGGCGAAGGCAAUCCCCUGGACCUGUACUGACGCUCAUGCACGAAAGCGUGGGGAGCAAACAGGAUUAGAUACCCUGGUAGUCCACGCCCUAAACGAUGUCAACUGGUUGUUGGGUCUUCACUGACUCAGUAACGAAGCUAACGCGUGAAGUUGACCGCCUGGGGAGUACGGCCGCAAGGUUGAAACUCAAAGGGAAUUGACGGG
rnacentral:rRNA from 1 species